rnacentral:rRNA from 1 species
CCAGACUCCUACGGGAGGCAGCAGUGGGGAAUAUUGCACAAUGGGGGAAACUCUGACGCAGUGACGCCGCGUGCAGGAAGAAGGUUUUCGGAUUGUAAACUGCUUUAGACAGGGAGGAAAAAAGACAGUACCUGUAGAAUAAGCUCCGGCUAACUACGCGCCAGCAGCCGCGGUAAUACGUAGGGGGCAAGCGUUAUCCGGAUUUACUGGGUGUAAAGGGGGCGCAGACGGCGAUGCAAGCCAGGAGUGAAAGCCCGGGGCCCAACCCCGGGACUGCUCUUGGAACUGCGUGGCUGGAGUGCAGGAGGGGCAGGCGGAAUUCCUGGUGUAGCGGUGAAAUGCGUAGAUAUCAGGAGGAACACCGGUGGCGAAGGCGGCCUGCUGGACUGCAACUGACGUUGAGGCCCGAAAGCGUGGGGAGCAAACAGGAUUAGAUACCCGAGUA